UAUAAGUAAAAUGUCUAGACUACAGAUUGUGAGACAUUCACAGGAUUAUAAUUUCGAGACCAAAUAGCCCUAUACAACUCUGUAGCCAUUACUACCAAGGACACUGGUGGAGCCAGCCCCAAACCAAGUAACUAUGGUAACAAAGCCAGCCAAGGUACCGCUAGUCGUGGUCAAGGUACCACUAGUCGUGGUCAAGGUACUGAUAGUCAUGGUCAAGGUACACUAGUCGUGGUCAAGGUACUGAUAGUGUUGGUCAAGGUACCACUAGUUGUGGCCAUACUACCGCUAAUCGUGGUCGAGGUACUGAUAGUCGUGGUCAAGUUACUGAUAGUCAUGGUCAAGGUAUCGUUAGCCGUGGUCAAGGUACUGAUAGUCAUGGUCAAGGUACUGAUAGUCGUGGUCAAGGUACACUAGUCGUGGUCAAGGUACUGAUAGUGUUGGUCAAGGUACCACUAGUUGUGGCCAUAUUACCGCUAAUCGUGGUCGAGGUACUGAUAGUCGUGGUCAAGUUACUGAUAGUCAUGGUCAAGGUACUGAUAGUCAUGGUCAAGGUACUGAUAGUCGAGGUCAAGGUACACUAGUCGUGGUCAAGGUACUGAUAAUCGUGGUCAAGGUACUGCUUGUCAUGGUCCAGGUACUGAUAAUCGGGGUCAAGUUACUGAUAGUCAUGGUCAAGGUACUGAUAGUCGUGGUCAAUGUACCUAUAGUUGUGGUCAAGGUACUGAUAGUCGUGGUCAAGGUACUGCUAGUCAUGGUCCAGGUUCCGCUAGUUGUGGUCAAGUUACUGAUAGUCGUGGUCAAGGUACCGCAAGUUGUGGUCAAGUUACUGAUAGUUGUGGUCAAGGUACCGCAAGUUGUGGUCAAGUUACUGUUAGUCGUGGUCCAGGUACCCCUAAUUGUGGUCAAGUUACUGAUAGUCAUGGUCAAGGUACUAAUUGUUGUGGUCCAGGUACCGCUAGUCAUGGUCAAGGUACUAAUAGUCGUGGUCCAGGAACCGCUAGUCAUGGUCCAGGUAUCCCUAGUUGAGGUCCAGGUACCGCUAGUCGUGGUCAAGGUACCGCUAGUCGUGGUCAAGGUACCGCUAGUCGUGGUCAAGGUACCACUAGU
rnacentral:misc_RNA from 1 species